UGACCUAAGUGACAUUUUGAUAUUAUCGAGAAAAUCGAAUUCAAAGUUGUGGGUUUUAUUUUUGAUUCCUAUUUAACGAUCUCACCGAAACCAAUAUGUUCAAUACACAUAAAUGAUUCCAAUCAUCAUCAUUUAUUGUUUCCUUUAUUAAAAUCUAGAUAAAAUAUAGCAGAACAUUAUUUUUUUACAGAAAAAUAUGUUUACGACAUUUGGUGUCCGAAAACACAAUUAGGACAUUUUGUUAAGUCAUUCUGAAACUUGUCGGUUUCUUACGUCACGUGCGUUACGUCGCGUUACGCAAAUUUAUGUUGCUUUCGUCGGUCUAGUUACGUCAUGUAGCCAGCUGUCAUGUUGGUUAAGCCAGGUAAAUACGUCGAUUGGCUUUCAAGGGCAAAACAAAACAUACUGUUACCCAUCUUUGUUUCGGUAGUGCAACUACCGAACUGAUGAUGUUUACCUUUUUUUACAUACCUAUCAACAUAAUCUGUUGGGAGAAUUAUUUUAUUUUUCCUACUUACAACCCACAUCCGACAAUUUUUUGAAGUGGGAAUGGUAGAACUUUCGAUUCCCUCGGUCGCACGUACAUUAGUUUUGCAUUUUGUUCCACCAUUUCCGUGAAAAAUGAGAUCCGGCUUGUGCAAGUGAGGAAUUGAGGUUAGAAUUGUAGGAUAUUCUAGGUUAGAUUUGCUAUCCACUUCGCCUGAACUAUUUUCAGACCCAGAAAUAUCGUACUUCUAAUUAGUUUUCACUGCCGUAAAAAAUACUGUUAUGCUCAGAAUAAACAGUUAUACCUUCGGAUCACACUCAUUUACUCGUAAAUCUCAAUCUGACUGUAAAAAUAAUGAAUUUCUUUCCAAUGUUUUGAAACCCCGAACGAAUUUGACAUUGCUUUUGGGAAGCAUCAUCACGACGACGACAACACUCCCAAGCGGUCGAAUCGUCGUUUUGGGGGCGAAUCGGAAUGUUGAUUUGGCACUUAGGUCAAAUCAUUCAUCCGACAAAAAAGGUAUUUUUUAGGUGUUGUAGAAUAAUUUCAUUUAUUAUUUACUUGUUUUUUCCAUUCCCGCAAUGAUUUACCGGCCAUAAAAUCAGCUCUAGUCAAGGAUCGCUCAAAUUCACCAGAAACCGGAUGACCGGGAAGCUCGACUCCCUUUCAAAACGAUGUAGGAGAUGUAGCUGGAAAAAGCUGAACAAUAUGUGUAAUCGCCUCACAGCAGGGAGCAGUAAGUGGUACUUCCAAGCCCCGUCGUGCAUUCGCAGGAUCAUGAAGCUAAAGAUGGACGAGGAUCGCAGAAGGAUCCCGCAAGUCCAGAGUGUCGACUUAGGAAGGAGAAGGAAAACGAGGAGAGGACCACUGCUUUCGCCAUGGAAACCAGCUCGUAAAUAUCCGGCGUCUAUUCUGAAUCUUUCGGCUGGCCACCGCCGAUUUCCCAAUUAAGAAACCAGUGUGCAAUGCAAUCGAAGUGGAUUGUGAGAUUGUUGCACUAGUUAGUAGUAGUGUCAAAAAUACCUAAUGAAUUGUAAGAGAUAUUUUAAAGAUACAUACAUACAUUUAUUUGCACAACAUUAUAA